UCCUUAUAUAACGAUAUUAUACGCAAGACAGUAUAGUCGCUCCCUGUAAGGAAUAAAAUGCGAGAGGUGGUGUUGUAUUAGUGAGAUAACAUCAAGGUUGAAAUACCAAUGCCUCUCAGGAUAACCGUAAGUCCUAGAAAAUUUUAUUCUUUAAAAUUAAUCUUUUAGAAUUAUGAAAGUCAAAUUUGGUACUUUUAUAUAUUUUAAAAGUUACGGUAUC
ncrna:unclassified sequences IS605-orfB-I RNA